GGUCUCGGACACGCUGGAGCCGGGUCGAGGGACCGGGAGCAAAGAUGGCGGCGCCCUGACGAGACACUUCUGGAUGGUCCUGGUCUGCGCAAUCCAGUCUGGAGGAUCCCAGUCCAUGUGAUCCCAGUCCGGAUGGUCCUGCAUGGCACACACUCCAAGGCUCUGGAAUUCCAGCUACCAGCAAGGAAAACAUGUUCCUGCCCUUGAAAGCAAAGCUCUGAAGAAGGGGCCAAAAGCCAAGAGCAGCAAAAUCCUACAGGGACAUUUCAGUGCCAGCCUCCAGAACUUCAUUCAUGCUGCUUGUAACUCCUGGAUUAGAAAUUAAAUUACAGCAGGGUCUUUGGUGGGAGCUGCCCUGGUUCAAGGGAGACACCGAGAGACAAAAAGAGCAGGCAGAGAGAGGCAGGAGAGAAAGGAGGACACAAAGACAAUCAGCUGAGAAGGUGGCACUCUGAAAACAGAAAUGACACUGACUGAAAAAUGAAUGGGACAGGAAUUGAGAACUCUCAAAGUUUUAUUUACUAACAAAUGACAUCCUUCCGGCCAAGCCCCACACAGUCCUGAUCCCACUGCUCGAAAUUUCGAUACCCACUUGUCCCAGUCUCCUUCCAACCCCAUGUCACCCUGGUGGCUGUGGAAUUGAGUAAGUUCAGCAUGGGAUUGAGUUUCUCUGAGGUGGGAACAAGCCAUUUUGAGGUGGGAUUUAGCCCUUUUGGGUUAAGACUGAGUUC